UNCUGCACACUCCCCUGCCUCUCUCUUACAUACAUAAAACAGGACAUCAUGCGAGGCUCAGGAUUGUGAAUCCCCUAAAAGUAAAGGACCACGUCAAAUACUGCAUGGACUGGAUUUCUGCAACAAUAGCCGCAGGUUGCAGCGCUUGCCUUGAGGCCGCAGCGAUUGCCUCGAGGCCAUUUUAGGUGCCAUGCCACUACGGAGAAAUUCAUAAGAGAAGGCAGCAGCAAAAAGAAAGGGGAAAAAAUAUCCAGCAUCGCAAAAGCAGCAGCAAACAGAGAAGAACCAGAUUUUAAAAAAGUUACGAAUAUAAGUAAGAAAACAGAAAGAACUUAAAAGCCCAGGAAGGAAAGGCAAAAAACAGCCUAAGACCACAAAAAAUGAUCAACCAAACAUGUUCCUUCAAACAGCAUGGAAAGAGAAACUGCAAGGAAAGUAACACACACACACAGAAACGGCAAGGAAAACAAUAUGUUUAUAUAAACAAUAUGUUUAUAUAUAUAUAUAUAUAUGUAUAAAGCUAUAUAUUUAUAUUAGUGUAUUCAUCUGUUGGUGGAGAUGGAAGCCCACAUGUAAAAAUUUAUGUCAAUUGGCAGCAAGAGUAGGUAUGAGUAGGCAUGCGAAUCUCAACACUCCAUUAGAGAGGUAGAUUAUCAUUUCAAAAACACCACAAACAUGUUCAAGACAAAAAAAAAAAAGGACCUAAAAGCUGUAAGAAAAUUAGAGUCAGAGCAUAGUAAUAACCUGCAUUGAUAGCAAUAAAACACUAACCAAUUCCAAUAGACAAAGUCUCCACAUCUGUUUACCUCGGAUCUGGGCAGGUUCGGCAACUUCUAUCAGCUACCCCAACACCUUCCUUUUACUCUGUAAGGGAUGAACAAAAUACCAAGGAAUUAUUGAUAUACUAACAUCGCCUCGCCCCGAAACGAAGCAGCCACAAAGAGAAGAAUAAGCAAAGAGAUAUAGAAACCAACAGUGCAGAAUCCAAAAAAUUGCUAGCAGAGUUUGUUUAAAUUUGUAAACUAUUUUAGCAAAGUUUGUUUAAAUUGUUAGCAAAGCUAAUUCAAAGUAACCAAUAGCUAUAAAGAACUAUGGUGGACAUCAUGUUAAAAAAUAAAUCUUGGCUGAAAUUUAUGCCUUUAAAAAUUUGAUACCAACUAAGAAAUUCCAGUAAGAAAAUGAGAAGGCCAUAAUCUGGAUAAGUGCAACAAAAAAUGUAAAUAAAGUUCAUAAAAUACAGAUUCAUGCGAGGCUCAGAAAAGCAAUCCCAACGGAAAGAGAACCGAAAACAUUCUAGUAAAAAAUGCAAAUGAGAAGGCCACAUUCUGGAUAAGAGUAAGAAAAAUGAAAGAAAAAAAUGUUCAUGCAUAAAAGCAAACACAAUGAAAAUCAGAGCUGAAAAAACUUUAGUAAAAUGCAAUUGAGAAAGUCACAUUUAUAGAUUCUCUCUANAAUAAUUAAAUAUUCAUAAUUUCUUAUGAGAUAAGGUUUUUAGUAGAUUUGAUCUAAUUGGAUAAGUAUAAAUAUUUAAUUGAAGAGAGAAAAUUUUAUUAGAUAAGAUUUUAUCUGAAGGGAUUUAUAUAUAGGUAUAUAUGUACAUCAAUGAAAGUGAAUAAAAAUAAAAAUAAAAAAGG
rnacentral:lncRNA from 1 species